AGCUCUUUCUCUUUGUCGCCGCGGCAAAUACGCCCGAUGUUCCCGGUCGACACUGCACCUGCCGACAGUGAAACAAUUUCCACGAUCCUGUUACACGGAAAGACAAUAUGUCCGAACGAGGCUUGACUUGGAAUUUUCUUGUGGACGUGUCAUUGCCAUCACGGACCUGGUUCAAAUUGCCCACGCUCAUGGUGGACGUGACGCAAGGCGGCAUCACCGAC